GGCUUGGUCAACCUGGGCCAGCAUUGAUUGUCCGCAGGGUGGAUGAAGGAGCCUUCUCAAUCAGAGUGCAGCCACCGGAUGUUAACCGAGAGAACAGCCUCUGCUUAGGAGACACCCCUUCCUGAUUGCAUCAGACAGGGGCUGGGAUGGCAGGAAUAAUGGGCAAGGACUCAGAAACAGAGAGGGCCAGGUCUCUAAGAUCCUGGCCUCCCCGGGCAGGCUCCCUCUGCUCCCCAGCGUCAAGUCCAAUACAAAGCCCUAUGUGACCUGGCCCCUGCCAUGUGUCUCCAGGCUCAUCUCCUCCAACUCCUUUUUCUACGUUUACGUUCAUUCCCCGUGUCAUGGUGAGUUGUGGCUUUGCGACUUUCCACAUUCUCUAACAUCACUUCUCAGACCCUCCCUGUCCGCCAUGGCCCCAACCACAUCCUGGAGAAGGGCUCAUUGAAUAAAUCUCAGCUCAAGGCCAGAUCCCUCAAGAAGCUUCUCCUGGCUCCUCUGCACCAAUCCCAAAUGAGAUUAAGUCUCUCCUCUCUCCUCGCCUUGCUCUAGGGCCACUGUGGCUCCAAUAUGCUGCUUUUAGAGCUCACCUCAUGCUGUGUGAGGCAUGCAAGCUUUUGUCUCCCCGGGACCUGGGAGGUCAUUGAGAGAAGGGUUCAUGGCUGGGGCUGUCUCUUUCAAGCUCUCAUCCUCAACUGAGUAGAGCUGAGUGCAGAAUUGGGACUCAACAAAUGUUUGUAGAAUUGAAUUGACUGAUCUGCAAGGGAUAACUUGAAGUGUUGUGAUGGGCCACAGUGACUUCUAGAUGCUCAAGAAAGGGUCCAUUUAGCUUCAUAUUGUUCCUGUAUUCCAUUGCUUGGAAAAAUAGCCUCACAUGGGCUGUGUUGCUAAUUCAUAGUUAGCUAGAGUCUUGAGAUUUCCAGAUUGCUGUGUUCUGAUCUCGGCAGACUACAGGAGCUUCCUUCAUAGAGGAUCCAUUCAAGACAAAUUCUAGAUACAUACACAUCCCAAGAUGCUGUGGUUGGGCCUGUGGAAGG
rnacentral:lncRNA from 1 species